rnacentral:rRNA from 1 species
AGUGAACGCUGGCGGUAGGCCUAACACAUGCAAGUCGAACGGCAGCACGGUAAGAGCUUGCUCUUACGGGUGGCGAGUGGCGGACGGGUGAGGAAUACAUCGGAAUCUACUUUUUCGUGGGGGAUAACGUAGGGAAACUUACGCUAAUACCGCAUACGACCUACGGGUGAAAGCAGGGGAUCUUCGGACCUUGCGCGAUUGAAUGAGCCGAUGUCGGAUUAGCUAGUUGGCGGGGUAAAGGCCCACCAAGGCGAUGAUCCGUAGCUGGUCUGAGAGGAUGAUCAGCCACACUGGAACUGAGACACGGUCCAGACUCCUACGGGAGGCAGCAGUGGGGAAUAUUGGACAAUGGGCGCAAGCCUGAUCCAGCCAUACCGCGUGGGUGAAGAAGGCCUUCGGGUUGUAAAGCCCUUUUGUUGGGAAAGAAAAGCAGCAGGUUAAUACCCCGCUGUUCUGACGGUACCCAAAGAAUAAGCACCGGCUAACUUCGUG